GAUGAACGCUGGCGGCGUGCCUAAUACAUGCAAGUCGAGCGGACAGACGAGGUGCUUGCACCUCUGAAGUCAGCGGCGGACGGGUGAGUAACACGUGGGUAACCUACCUGUAAGACUGGGAUAACUUCGGGAAACCGGAGCUAAUACCGGAUAAUAUUUUCCACCUCAUGGUGGAAUAGUGAAAGACGGUUUUGCUGUCACUUACAGAUGGACCCGCGGCGCAUUAGCUAGUUGGUGAGGUAACGGCUCACCAAGGCGACGAUGCGUAGCCGACCUGAGAGGGUGAUCGGCCACACUGGGACUGAGACACGGCCCAGACUCCUACGGGAGGCAGCAGUAGGGAAUCUUCCGCAAUGGACGAAAGUCUGACGGAGUAACGCCGCGUGAGUGAAGAAGGUCUUCGGAUCGUAAAACUCUGUUGUAAGGGAAGAACAAGUACGUUAGUAACUGAACGUACC
rnacentral:rRNA from 1 species